ensembl:processed_transcript Hoxa11os homeobox A11, opposite strand
GUCGGAGGAAGCGAGGUUUUCCGGGGUGCCGUAAGCCGUCUCGAAAAACUGGUCGAAAGCCUGUGGCAGAACGCCGUUCCUGCCCACCGUGCUAUAGAAAUUGGACGAGACGGCGGGGGUGGGGUGGUGGUAGACGUUGGCCGAGCUCUUGGCCAGCACGUCGCCAGGCACGCCGGCCGCGCUGGGCGCCUGCAGACAGUCUCUGUGCACGAGCUCCUCCGCGGAGUAGCAGUGGGCCAGAUUGCCGCGGGGGUGCCAUUUAGUGGCGGGCUCAAUGGCGUACUCUCUGAAGGUCACUUCGCGCACGGGUUGGACCUGGGGCAGGUUGGAGGAGUAGGAGUAUGUCAUUGGGCGCGAAGACGGGGUCUGGGGCAAAAAAGAAGGGAGGCUGGAGAAAUCUGGACCCGAGACGUAGUAAGUACAACUUGGCAAAUACAUGUUAGAGGAGCAGGGACCACGCUCAUCAAAAUCCAUCAUUGGGCUACCUUGGGCUCUCCGCAGUAGCCGAGCUUAACAUGAUUCUCCACUGCAGCUGCCUCUUUGAAGCGGAUCCGUGAAGUAGAAAUUUGGAGACCCACCUCAGGGGAAGCAACAGAUCGUCACUCGGUGUUCUCACCGAAAGCACGUAAUCGCCGGUGUAACUCAUGUUGGCUGGGGGGCCUCCCCGCGCGCAGAAAGGCUGGGGUGCGCCCCCGGGCAGCUCUCCUUUGCUCAGCUACAUGGUCCUGGUCCACGAGUGCUCUGAGGGCGGCAAGAGAGCGCAACUCCUGACGCCUCCCCCCACUCCCCGCCCCCCUCCCACAGGUUUGCUCUGGGAAGCCCCCCAGCCUCAGACCCUGGCUGGACCCCAUUUGGGGCCAGGCUUCGCCGGCACGGAUGUGCCGGCCUCGUGGCUUGUCCGAUUUGCACGGUGACUUGAUUACACGCUCUCAUUCACGGUCACUUCCGAAGCGCUUUAGUGCCUUCCGUCCCCAAACCGCCAACAGGCAAAGCGGCUUCCCUCCGCGGGGUUCGGAGUGACUCCUCAGAGCCAGAGGCACUUCUGCUCACCGGUCCGCAAGCUGCCUGGUCUGCUGAAGCUGACGAAUCGGGAAACCAUGCAAUUGAGGCGAACCUUGGGCUGUUUUAGAGGCGCUGAGGAGCCUUCUCCUGGGAGGCCCAAGGUUGAUUUCAGCCCACCAGGAUCUGGGGAAGACCCAACUAGGGAUAAGAGCACACCAAAAGGCCAAGUCCGAGUUCCAUUUCUAGAAGAGGCGGCUUCCGGCAAGGCUAUGACAUUGGCCCUGGACAUUGGUUUCCCAGGAGCUGCUUUUUCUCAAGAACUCCACAGCACGGGGCUGUCUCCAGAAAACGCUCUUCAACGUUUAUUUCUUUUAAUCGUCGCCCGGAGCCCUAAGGCGGCUAAUGCAAGAGGCCAAAAAUGUUUGGAGGAAGAAAAACAAAGGCAGGAAGUGGCCGCGGCCUGACGGUGCGUGUGUGUCUGUAAAGAAGGGAGGGAGCCGGUUCAACCUCCCCUCGUUUUCCCGAACUUCAAGGUCUAGGCAGACCCCCUUAGGGCCUUGCCGAGGCUCGCCCCCACACCCCCAGCGGCGCAGCAUUUGGAGGUGGCCAACGAUUUAAGCCUCGGUCGGGCUGAAAGGAGAUUUGAUCGGCAGAACAAACCAACCCUUUUCGGAGGUUUCUUUUGAUUUGGUCCUAAAGGGUAUAUGCUAGUGUCCACAGCGGCUGGGGUGGCUGCUGUUUUCCUCCCGCCGGGCUAAAAGUACCAAGAAGGGAGGGAGGGAGAGAGAUUCAGGCACCUUGCGCUGGCUGCACUCUCCUUCUGAGAUAGAAUACCAG